rnacentral:rRNA from 1 species
GACGAACGCUGGCGGCGUGCUUAACACAUGCAAGUCGAACGGAAAGGCCCUGCUUUUGUGCGCUUCUCGAUUGGCGAACGCGUGAGUAACACGUGAGUAACCUGCCCUUGACUUUGGGAUAACUUCACGUAACUGGGGCUAAUACCGGAUAGCAUCUCCUGCUCCAUGGUGGGGGUUGGAAAGUUGCGGCGGGUGGGGCUGGACUCGCGGCUUAUCAGCUUGUUGGUGGGGUAGUGGCUUACCAAGUCUUUGGCGGGUAGCCGGCAUGAGAGGGUGAACGGGGACAAUGGGCCUGCGAGAGGGACCAGACGGGUACGGGAGGCAACGGUGGGGAGCAUUACACAGGAGGCGGACGCGUGAUAAAGCAACGCCGGGUGCGGGAAGACGGCCUUCUGGUUGAAAAAAGCUUUCGCCUGAGACGAAGCGUGAGUGACGGUACUGAAUAAAGAAGCACCGGCUAACUACGUG